GAGAAAGAGAGAGGAAGAGGACAGGGAGAGCGCAGAGAGGAAAACUGCAGAAAACCACAGGGAAAGUACGGACCAGAAGAGACCAGUAUAACUGGGAGCACACUCUCUCCAAGCGGUGUGGACAAGGGGCCACCCCAGGAGUCUUCGGGGGGCCGCGGUGGAACUGAGAGGAAAAGAACUCCAAGAUUAAAAGUAUCCUUAUUUGUUGCCGAGUUGCUCGUCGACAUAAAAGAGAAGG